UUUCGCUUCUUUGUAUCAGAAGUGUUGUGAAGUCCACAAUGUGAAUAUAAUAAUUUCAAAAAUAUAAUCGAAGUACCUAUUUAUUAAUAUUUCUAUGAAUUAUACAAAAUGAAAAUUUAUUGAAUGUGUUAGUGCUAAACAUUAUAUUUCUUGUGUACGCUCUCAUAGGCCGUCCAUUCGAUGGUCUUGUAGCGACUGCGCUCCUGUCGGCUGCCGUGUUCCGUUUCCAUUUGUUCAUUUGGAUUGCUGCAUAUUUGCGUAAAUUGAGGAAAGCAAUUGUGGGAAAUGAGUUGGGAUGAUGUUUGGCUGGCUACGUUGGCUGUUGGUUCGUUUCGAUCGACCACAGACCCAAUCAACACUUACCCGCAGCAGACUGACGAUUUGUUAUAGAGAUCAAGCGUGAACCGUUUGCUGCUUCAUUGCAGCCAACUGAACGCACGUUUGCACAAAAGCAACAAAUUUUGCAUAACUCAAAUGCUGAAUUGGACUCCGAAAUGAGAAUUAUUAAGUAUACGCGAGCGAGAGAGACGCAGCAGCGGAAAUCUUUUUUCAUUUAUUGAAAGACCAAAAUGUAUUCUGAUUAAAUUAUGUAUUCAAUGAUUCUUCUCGUACUUGUAUUCAGCAAUUUAACAAAUAAAUUGUGUAG